CCGUGUGAGGAUCCUAGUCAGAACAAGAGUUAAAGUUAAGAAUGACCCUACAACAAGAGUCAACAAUCUAACCACCUGAAAUAAGCUGCAUGGAUUGAGGAAUGUUAGCAGUACAAGAUCAUCAUGGGAGGAUGGGUUGGAUUAAUUCGGAGGAAAGGUAACUUAACAUGUUUGCAAAGCCGACAAACCUGACUGUCUAAAGACACACCUCUAGAGACAUAUCCAAUAAGGCAACUUCGAGCGAAGGAUGACAGACGAGAGCCACAUGAGUGACCAAGACAAUGAUGCCACAAAGAGUCGGUAGAUGAGGAGAGACGGGGAGGCUGGUGACGGUGUCAUUAGAGGGAAGGUGAAGCCAGUCAAGCUCCUAGAGGGCCUGGGAGUUACAGCGUCGAGGGCCCACAACAAGUAGAUCAUGCAUGUGAGGAUCCUAAUCGGAACAAGAGUUAAAAGUUAAGAAUGACCCUACAACCAGAGUCAACAAUCUAACCACCUGAAAUGAGCUGCAUGGAUCGAGGAACAUGAGCAAAACUAGGAACAUGAAAAGACGAAGUGCUAAGGGUGUCGACUAUCGACUGUGAGGGAAGUUCCUAAGAACAUGAACAUGAGAAUCUGGAGGUCGAAUGGCCGACAAACUGGAAGAACUAGACGAUGAAGCACCAGGUUGUGAACCUAGAAGUGGGUGUUGAAGUCGUGCAAUUUUUGUUCCUCGUCGAUUUGGCUUGGCGUCCUUCCCUUGUAUGCGGGUUAUGUGUCACGGACUUGAUGUCGCAUUCUACGUUCCCUUGUUGGGGGCCCUUGGCCCCGGCGACAGGUAGCAUCGUGCACACAUCAUGUGGGUUAGACAUUGCGGUGCCGACUGCCCUUGCUCCUGCUCCGCCGAUAGGUGGUGCCCGAGCGUUCGGCUAUGGCGGCGCCCAGCAGGGGAGGACGGGUUGUGGGAUCGAGGCAGCACACAAAGCAACCUGUAGCCAGGCAAAGGAUGCCCAACCGGCCUGGCAUGGAGCGGAGAGUGCACGAGGGGUGUGGGGUAAGUGGUGAAAAUGCCGUCAGGGACAGACUGCCGCCGCCGUCAGAUUUUGACCUGGAAUCGAGCGGCGAGGGGAUGAUGAUAGGGAAAGCGAGGAAGGCAGGAAGAGAGCACUUGGAGGAGAAACGCAUCAUCCACCCUAUGCCUGUGCUUCAGCCGCGAUGGUGGACGGUUGUGGGGAAAUCCGAGGUCUGCACGUGGAUCUACUACUCGGGAUGGCAUGACAUGGUUUUUGUGGAGUGAGGUGCCACAACUAUUGUGUUGUGUGGGUGAGUUUGGAGAGAUAGAAGUCGUGUUGCACUCUAGUCUAGGCCUUCAACUGUACCAAGUGCAACUUAUUUAGAGUUUCUUUUCUCUCAAGCUUAAGGCUUUCUCUGAAUCAAAUCUAGCCUAAGAAACCAACCUAGCUAUAAAAGUUUUGAUAGCAUGGACUUAUAUCAAUGUGCUUAACUUAUGGAAUUGUAAGAGCACCGCUUAAGCACCAACAACUUUUGCCUCGAAUAAAGUCCAACAUGAGAUUGUGUGAGUUAAUCAUUUUACAUCCUUAAGCCCCAACAUGCGCCAAGUUGGGUGGUACCAUACAGAAGUUGUUUUGAAGAGUUAUGAUGUAGUCUGGUGGUGAUGUAGAAGUGAUAUUCAGGAGAUAGUCAAAGAUUUUUGGUGGAUUAUGAGAUUUUAGGUCUAGUUGAGCAUGGUGAUUAUUAUAUUGCUGGAUAAACAUAUCUUUAAUUAAUCUUGGAACAAUUUGGAUUUAGUUAGGUGAUUGUGAGCUUGAACUAAAUUUCACGAUGGGUAAAUAACUUCAGUAGUACAUAUAAAAAGAUCCAUAGUCCGUCAAUAGAACUUGGUGGUUUAUAUUGGAUUUAGAUACCAACGAAUUUGGAGUUUAUUUAAAUCAUGGUUAUGAUGUUGGUGGAUUGCUUUGUGUUAAAUUCACACUUCUGGAGAUUGCUGAAGUUGGAGAACUUUAGGGUGUAGUAUGAUCAACCUUGGAUAUAUAUCAGAUUUAUAUAGGUUAGAUGAGAGUUUGUAGCAUCAAUCAUGAUUAUGAUAAUUGGUGGAUUAUUGGAGCAUCUGGGAUUGGAUUAGUAGUAAGGAAACAAGGAUUUUGAAGUAACAUAGCUUGUGUUUCCUUUAGGCUAGAUGGGACUUAGCAACAUCAAUCAUGAUUAUGGAAAUGGUGGAUUAUUGGAGCAUCUGGCAUUGGAUUAGUAGUAAGGAAACAAGGAUCUUGGAGUAGCACAACUUGUGAUUCCUUUAGGUUAAAUGAUAUAACUACUUGGAUUCUAGGAUGGAGAUAACUUUAGCACUCGGAUUUGUGAUGUUUUGAUUUAAGCUUAGUAGCUUGCAUGUGCCCCAUAUGGAUAUAAUCAUGAAUACGAUACAUGUGGAUCAAAGUUGUUAGACGUAGGUGAUUUUGCUGUCCCUCCCCAAGAAUGUUAGCAGUACAAGAUCAUCAUGGGAGGAUGGGUUGGAUUAAUUCGGAGGAAAGGUAACUUAACCUGUUUGCAAAGCCGACAAACCUGACUGUCUAAAGACACACCUCUAGAGACAUAUCCAAUAAGGCAACUUCGAGCGAAGGAUGACAGACGAGAGCCACAUGAGUGACCAAGACAAUGAUGCCACAAAGAGUCGGUAGAUGAGGAGAGACGAGGAGACUGGUGACGGUGUCAUUAGAGGGAAGGUGAAGCCAGUCAAGCUCCUAGAGGGCCUGGGAGUUACAGCGUCGAGGGCCCACAACAAGUAGAUCAUCCAUGUGAGGAUCCUAAUCGGAACAAGAGUUAAAGUUAAGAAUGACCCUACAACCAGAGUCAACAAUCUAACCACCUGAAAUGAGCUGCAUGGAUCGAGGAACAUGAGCAAAACUAGGAACAUGAAAAGACGAAGUGCUAAGGGUGUCGACUAUCGACUGUGAGGGAAGUUCCUAAGAACAUGAACAUGAGAAUCUGGAGGUCGAAUGACCGACAAACUAGAAGAACUAGACGAUGAAGCACCAGGUUGUGAACCUAGAAGUGGGUGUUGAAGUCGUGCAAUUUUUGUUCCUCGUCGAUCUGGCUUGGCGUCCUUCCCUUGUAUGCGGGUAUGUGUCACGGACUUGAUGUCGCAUUCUACGUUCCCUUGUUGGGGGCCCUUGGCCCCGGCGACAGGUAGCGUCGUGCACACAUCAUGUGGGUUAGACAUUGCGGUGCCGACUGCCCUUGCUCCUGCUCCGCCGAUAGGUGGUGCCCGAGCGUUCGGCUAUGGCGGCGCCCAGCAGGGGAAGACGGGUUGUGGGACCGAGGCAGCACACAAAGCAACCUGUAGCCAAGCAAAGGAUGCCCAACCGGCCUGGCAUGGAGCGGAGAGUGCACGAGGGGUGUGGGGUAAGUGGUGAAAAUGCCGUCGGGGACAGACUGCCGCCGUCGUCAGAUUUUGACCUGGAGUCGAACGGCGAGGGGAUGAUGAUAGGGAAAGCGAGGAAGGCAGGAAGAGGGCACUUGGAGGAGAAACACAUCAUCCACCCUGUGCCCGUGCUUCAGCCGCGAUGGUGGACGGUUGUGGGGAAAUCCGAGGUCUGCACGUGGAUCUACUACUCGGGAUGUCAUGACAUGGUUUUUGUGCAGUGAGGUGCCACAACUAUUGUGUUGUGUGGGUGAGUUUGGAGAGAUAGAAGUCGUGUUGCACUCUAGUCUAGGCCUUCAACUGUACCAAGUGCAACUUAUUUAGAGUUUCUGUUCUCUCAAGCUUAAGGCUUUCUCUGAACCAAAUCUAGCCCAAGAAACCAACCUAGCUAUAAAAGUUUCGAUAGCAUGGACUUAUAUCAAUGUGCUUAACUUAUGGAAUUGUAAGAGCACCGCUUAAGCACCAACAACUUUUGCCUCGAAUAAAGUCCAACAUGAGAUUGUGUGAGUUAAUCAUUUUACAUCCUUAAGCCCCAACAUGCGCCAAGUUGGGUGGUACCAUACGGAAGUUGUUUUGAAGAGUUAUGAUGUAGUCUGGUGGUGAUGUAGAAGUGAUAUUCAGGAGAUAGUCAAAGAUUUUUGGUGGAUUAUGAGAUUUUAGGUCUAGUUGAGCAUGGUGAUUAUUAUAUUGGUGGAUAAACAUAUCUUUAAUUAAUCUUGGAACAAUUUGGAUUUAGUUAGGUGAUUGUGAGCUUGAACUAAAUUUCACGAUGGGUAAAUAACUACAGUAGUACAUAUAAAAAGAUCCAUAGUCCGUCAAUAGAACUUGGUGGUUUAUAUUGGAUUUAGAUACCAAUGAAUUUGGAGUUUAUUUAAAUCAUGGUUAUGAUGUUGGUGGAUUGCUUUGUGUUAAAUUCACACUUUUGGAAAUUGCUGAAGUUGGAGAACUUUAGGGUGUAGUAUGAUCAACCUUGGGUAUGUAUCAGAUUUAUAUAGGUUAGAUGAGAGUUUGUAGCAUCAAUCAUGAUUAUGGUAAUUGGUGGAUUAUUGGAGCAUCUGGGAUUGGAUUAGUAGUAAGGAAACAAGGAUUUUGAAGUAACAUAGCUUGUGUUUCCUUUAGGCUAGAUGGGACUUAGCAACAUCAAUCAUGAUUAUGGAAAUGGUGGAUUAUUGGAGCAUCUGGCAUUGGAUUAGUAGUAAGGAAACAAGGAUCUUGGAGUAGCACAACUUGUGAUUCCUUUAGGUUAAAUGAUAUAACUACUUGGAUUCUAGGAUGGAGAUAACUUUGACACUCGGAUUUGUGAUGUUUUGAUCUAAGCUUAGUAGCUUGCAUGUGCCCCAUAUGGAUAUAAUCAUGAAUACGAUACAUGUGGAUCAAAGUUGUUAGACGUAGGUGAUUUUGCUGUCCCUCCCCAAGAAUGUUAGCAGUACAAGAUCAUCAUGGGAGGAUGGGUUGGAUUAAUUCGAAGGAAAGGUAACUUAACCUGUUUGCAAAGCCAACAAACCUGACUGUCUAAAGACACACCUCUAGAGACAUAUCCAAUAAGGCAACUUCGAGCGAAGGAUGACAGACGAGAGCCACAUGAGUGACCAAGACAAUGAUGCCACAAAGAGUCGGUAGAUGAGGAGAGACGAGGAGACUGGUGACGGUGUCAUUAGAGGGAAGGUGAAGCCAGUCAAGCUCCUAGAGGGCCUGGGAGUUACAGCGUCGAGGGCCCACAACAAGUAGAUCAUCCAUGUGAGGAUCCUAAUCGGAACAAGAGUUAAAGUUAAGAAUGACCCUACACCCAGAGUCAACAAUCUAACCACCUGAAAUGAGCUGCAUGGAUCGAGGAACAUGAAAAGACGAAGUGCUAAGGGUGUCGACUAUCGACUGUGAGGGAAGUUCCUAAGAACAUGAACAUGAGAAUCUGGAGGUCGAAUGGCCGACAAACUGGAAGAACUAGACGAUGAAGCACCAAGUUGUGAACCUAGAAGUGGGUGUUGAAGUCGUGCAAUUUUUGUUCCUCGUCGAUCUGGCUUGGCGUCCUACCCUUGUAUGCGGGUUAUGUGUCACGGACUUGAUGUCGCAUUCUACG
rnacentral:lncRNA from 1 species